rnacentral:rRNA from 1 species
AUUGAACGCUGGCGGCAGGCCUAACACAUGCAAGUCGAGCGGAUGAAGGGAGCUUGCUCCUGGCUUCAGCGGCGGACGGGUGAGUAAUGCCUAGGCAUCUGCCUGGUAGUGGGGGAUAACGUCCGGAAACGGGCGCUAAUACCGCAUACGUCCUGAGGGAGAAAGUGGGGGCUCUUCGGACCUCACGCUAUCAGAUGAGCCUAGGUCGGAUUAGCUAGUUGGUGGGGUAAAGGCCUACCAAGGCGACGAUCCGUAACUGGUCUGAGAGGAUGAUCAGUCACACUGGAACUGAGACACGGUCCAGACUCCUACGGGAGGCAGCAGUGGGGAAUAUUGGACAAUGGGCGAAAGCCUGAUCCAGCCAUGCCGCGUGUGUGAAGAAGGUCUUCGGAUUGUAAAGCACUUUAAGUUGGGAGGAAGGGCAGUAGGUUAAUACCUGGCUGUAUUGACGGUACCAUCAGAAUAAGCACCGGCUAACUUCGUG